AAAAAAAUAAAAAAAAAAAGAAAAGGGUGCUGUGGCCACAAUGGCCAAGAAAUGUGGCUUCACAGCAUACACGGGUGUAUUGGGGGACCUGGGGACACCCUGUAGGAAUGGACCCUGCUUGAGUUGGCUCUGGCUGGUGCUCCCUGUGUGUGGUAGCCAGCCUCUAAGACAGUUCGCAAUGAUCCCCACCUCCUGGUAUCAUGCCCUUAUAUAGUUAGUCCCCUCUCCUCUUGUGUCAGCACUGGUCCGUGUGGCCAGUGGAACACAGCAGUAGUGAUAGCAUAUAACUUCCAAGGUUAGAUCACAAAAGCAUUGUGACUGCUGCCUUGUUCUUGUCCUUGGAUCAGUCAUUCAGGGGGAAGCCGGCUGCCAUGUUGUGAGGACACUCAAGCAGCCCCAGGAGAGGUCCACAUGGAGAAGAACUGAGGGCUCCUGCCAACGGCCAGCCCUAACUCACCAUCCUGAGCUGCCCUGCAAGCAGAUCCCCUAGCCUCGGUCCAGCCUUCAGAUGACCGCAGUCCCAGGUGCUGUGGACACAAGGAUGAAUGAGUCACCACCCCUGUCCUAGAGGAAGGCCCCAGCUGGCAGGGCAAGGGAGACCAGGACAGACAGAGGACAACAGAUACUGGCCUAUGGAUGGGAAGACUUGAGUGGAGGACUGACUGAGGAACAAGAGACAAACGGGACAGAUGACAGGCAACACUGGGAAGAAUGAGGACAUGGGAUUGGCCUGUUCCCUCCAGGAGCAGAGAGGAGAGUCAACCAAACCACCAAACGACCAAACCUGUGGGGGCUCCCAAUAUGUGUCCUGGGACAGAGAAGUCUCCAGACUUGGGGAUUAGCAAACCAGGCCUGAAGAAACGCCCCUGUUCAAAUUACAGAAGCCCUCUGAGUCCCAGCAGUGUGGCCCUGGGGACUCAGAGUGGACACCUCCACCCCCCAAGAGCCCCCAUGUGCAGACGACACACCUCAUGCACCCCACGCAGGCUACCAGAGCACUUCCUCCUUCGUCCCUGCUCCCCUUCAUCGAGACUGCUGGCUCUGGGCAGGCACUGGGGAAGGCCAGAGAGAAAUGGAACCUUCACUCCCAGAGACCCCACUGGAACUCCCCACCCUCACAAGGAGCUCGCAGCACACAGCCGGACGUGAGGAGAAAGAGUGGGCCACGUGAAGAAAUUGAUCAUCUCAAGUUAAACAAAAAGCCAGAACCAUCAGAGAGAUGGGCAGGACGUGAAAUCGUAAACACAGCACAGGAGAACACAAGUUAUUGGGGAGAAAUGCAGGAAGGGAAUACGCUAAAGUGUCGACGGUAGCUGGGUUUGAGAGGUAGGAUUCGGUUUUUUAUUUUCCAGUUUUCCUGGAAUAUAGUUAUAUCACUUGUAAAACUUAUGGAAAUUAAUUCAUCCACAAGAGCCUUUCUCCUCUUGAAGAGACCAGCUCCCUCCUGAUAGCCAGGAAGGGGCAGACACACAGAACAAGGCUUCAGUUGGUGCAAGAAAGGGGUGUGUGUCUGUUACAGGGUGAAGUGGGGGCGCCAGGGGUGACGCGCUCUGGACAGGACUGGGGGUGUGGGCAGGGUGUCAGGCCUGGUCUGCUUGGCAAUCCCUUCAGUCUGCAGGACAGCAGCUACUCAGACUUCCCGGGGGCCCAGGGCGCCUGCCCCAGCUGUCUGCAGUCAGCACCUCCCCAGUUCUAACCACUACGAUCUCGGCGUUCGAUGUCUGAAUGCCAUCCUCCCUGCUCACAGCUGGAAGUACAAAAAACCCUGCGGCCCCAGGUGCUUUGGGGGUGGGCCAAUAAAGUUUUAAAGUUCCAGUCCAAAUCCCGGAGUCAGUCCCCCACCCAGACCCUCUCCAAAGGAGUCAGGGGAGACAGGUGUGGGUGCUGGGCUCCCACCGCCUCCCACAGGGCCUGCCAGAAAAACACCUGGCCGAGAGAGGCAGGGGCCCUGCCCCGUUGCCGGCCCCCAUCAGUCCCUAGAAGGCGACUGCCCAUCUCAUCCCUUCCCGGCUGCUCAGCCCCCAGUCGCUUCCGUGGCUCUGCACACCCUCAUUCUGUAACUCCGAGGGGCGAGGGGCGUGGGAAAGAGGAAAGGGGCUGGGUUUCUUGCCUUUCCUGACAGUGAGCCGCGGAAUUGGACAAGCAGAGGCAUUGGGACUGCCCAGGAAGGAGGGGCUGGACGUUCCUAGACGGUGGGUGGCUGUGGGCCAUGGCUCAGGGACUUUGGGCAGCGGGGAUGCCUCCUGCUUCAGAGCCGUAGACGGCCAGGCCUGAGGUG